rnacentral:rRNA from 1 species
UACGUAGGGGGCGAGCGUUGUCCGGAAUUAUUGGGCGUAAAGAGCUCGUAGGCGGCUUGUCACGUCGGGUGUGAAAGCUCGGGGCUUAACCCCGGGUCUGCAUUCGAUACGGGCUGGCUGGAGUGUGGUAGGGGAGAUCGGAAUUCCUGGUGUAGCGGUGAAGUGCGCAGAUAUCAGGAAGAACACCGGUGGCGAAGGCGGAUCUCUGGGCCAUUACUGACGCUGAGGAGCGAAAGCGUGGGGAGCGAACAGG